UGCUUGUCGGUCAGCAAAGGGAUCAGGUCAGUUCUCUCUCCCCCUCCGGCUGUAGGCCGGGUGGGGGAGGGGAAAAGGCCACGAGGCGCCGUGAGCUAGGCCGCAGGCCUUGGAUCUUGGAGAGAGAGAGAGAGAGACCGGGGGGGGGAAGUGAAAGGAUGGAGGGGUGGAAGUAGUGAAAGCACCGAGCAAAACCCCCCCCCCCCCUCACCCCGCUUCCUAGAGAGAGAGAGAGAGAGAGAAGAGAGAAAAGAGAUAAGAUGCGCCGGGCAGCUCCUGGAAGUCGGCCAAGAGUGUGAAGAGAGUCCGGCACCUAGAGAUGAUUUUAACUUUUUUCCUUCACGAUGGAAACCUUCCAGACGUUGAUCCUCCCGGAGGACAGAGAUAAGAACAAGAAGAAAUGGACAAGUGAAAUGAGAGAUGCAAUCAGUCUUCAUGACCAGGAUGAAUAGGAGGCUUAAGUGCCACAAUGGAGAUUUUUAUUGGACUUGAGGAAAGUUGGAGCAGGUUGCCCAAAGAAUAUUAUGAGUUUCCAAGACUGAAGGCUUUUGUGGGCAGCCUGAAAAUACACUUGACAGCCAUGAGCUAGAGCAAACUGGUCAUGAUGUCAAAAAGCAUUUGGAUGCACUGAGGAGAAAUACUGUUAUAAAAAAGUUCAAGGAUUACAGCCAGUUUCUGAGAAGCAAUGAUAUCAGAAUUGCAAGAUAACAUUAAUUUCUCACUAGUUUUCAUACUAAAGUCAGGUAAAAACCUGUGUUAACCUGUAUUUCACCUGACUUACAAGAACAGAAGAAGACACAUAUGUGCUUGUCCAAUUUAAACUUCUGGUUGGAUGGAUAGGAGAGAUUUUUCUCUGUGCAGAUGUGCUCCCAUUUUGAGUGUUAUAAGCAGCAUUUAGAUGUGUGUGUAACUGUCUAUGUAUGUUUAGACAGAGAAACUUUCAGUACUGUUCUACAAAAUAAGAGCAAACUCUGUAUUGUUCAGACUUCCUAAGUUAGUGCAAAAUCCAUUGGAGAUGGGACAUGGAAACCAUGCGAUCUACACCCAAUCCAAAAUCACAGACAAAACCCGAUACUAUUAAGUUGACUUAAAUAGCAGCAACAACCUCUGUUUUGCUGUCACAGAAAUUACUGCAAGAAUGGAUCAAAAAAUGCAAAAUUUUUGAGCAAAAUUGUGAACAUACAGUGUCUGUCUAAACUUAUGCCCCUUUCUUGAAGCUGCUUAAAAAGCACAAGUUGUUUUGGAACUUGCUUUAUUUUUCAGUCCAAUGGCCAAGAAUAUCUGACUAAUAUGAUUAUCACCCUUGAGUUGCACUUAACUUUGCCAUUGUAUUUGGGGAACUCUUGCACAUUAGCCACAUCUGCCUCCCACUCUGGAUCCAUGUCUUAAACAGUCACCUUAUUUCAAGUGCUGUCUCACAGGAGUGUUUAAGGUGUAAGUAUCCUGAAUUUCAAGAUAGGUUGACACUUGGCAUGAGUUCAGAUCAGCAAUUUGUCUUUUAACAACCUGGAAAGCGGAUUUAUGCCCUAAAGCUUCCAGCUUCUAAUUUUAGGGCUUAGUUUUUCUUUUUAAGUUUUUUAUCUGCUGUGUAAUCAUUUAGCUUUUAAUUACAACACAACUUCAUCAUCUGUAUUCAAGGACUACUAGUGUAUUUUCUCCGUUCCUUCUUCUACUGCAUGAUAAUCAGUUUCUAUAGAAUAGAAAUGUGUCCAGAAACCCAAUUUGAUGUC